GAUGAACGCUGGCGGCGUGCCUAAUACAUGCAAGUCGAGCGAAUGGAUUAAGAGCUUGCUCUUAUGAAGUUAGCGGCGGACGGGUGAGUAACACGUGGGUAACCUGCCCAUAAGACUGGGAUAACUCCGGGAAACCGGGGCUAAUACCGGAUAACAUUUUGAACCGCAUGGUUCGAAAUUGAAAGGCGGCUUCGGCUGUCACUUAUGGAUGGACCCGCGUCGCAUUAGCUAGGUGGGGAGGUAAAGGCUCACCAAGGCAACGAUGCGUAGCCGACCUGAGAGGGGGAUCGGACAAACUGGGACUGAGACACGGCCCAGACUCCUACGGGAGGCAGCAGUAGGGAAUCUUCCGAAAUGGACGAAAGUCUGACGGAGCAACGCCGCGUGAGUGAUGAAGGCUUUCGGGUCGUACAACUCUGUUGUUAGGGAAGAACAAGUGCUAGUUGAAUAAGCUGACACCUUGACGGUACCUAACCAGAAAGCCACGGCUAACUACGUGCCAGCAGCCGCGGUAA
rnacentral:rRNA from 1 species